rnacentral:rRNA from 1 species
UACGAAGGGGGCUAGCGUUGCUCGGAAUCACUGGGCGUAAAGGGUGCGUAGGCGGGUCUUUAAGUCAGGGGUGAAAUCCUGGAGCUCAACUCCAGAACUGCCUUUGAUACUGAAGAUCUUGAGUUCGGGAGAGGUGAGUGGAACUGCGAGUGUAGAGGUGAAAUUCGUAGAUAUUCGCAAGAACACCAGUGGCGAAGGCGGCUCACUGGCCCGAUACUGACGCUGAGGCACGAAGGCGUGGGGAGCGAACGGG